rfam:Mortierella elongata AG-77 unplaced genomic scaffold K457scaffold_82, whole genome shotgun sequence.
GCUCGCAUAGCUUAGUCGGUAGAGCGUUGUGCUAAUAACGCAAAGGCCGCAGGUUCGAUCCCUGCUGUGAGCA